UAUUGGGCGUAAGCGCGCGCAGGUGGUUUCUUAAGUCUGAUGUGAAAGCCCCCGGCUCAACCGGGGAGGUGCAUUGGAAACUGGGAGACUUGAGUCCUGAAGAGGAAAGUGGAAUUCCAUGUGUAGCGGUGAAAUGCGUAGAGAUAUGGAGGAACACCAGUGGCGAAGGCGACUUUCUGGUCUGUAACUGACACUGAGGCGCGAAAGCGUGGGGAGCAAACAGGAUUAGAUACCCUGGUAGUCCACGCCGUAAACGAUGACUGCUAGGUGUUAGAGGGUUUCCGCCCUUUAUUGCGGAACUUAACGCAUUAAGCACUCCGCCCUGGGAGUACGGCCGCAGGGCUGAACCUCAAAGGAAUUGACGGGGGCCCCGCCAACCGAUGAAACUUGUGUUUAUUUCGAAGCACCGCGAAAAAACCUUACUAGGUUCUUUGACUUCCUCUGACAUCCCUAAAAAUCGUCUUCUCUUCGGACCCUAAUGACAGGUGCUUGCAUUGCUUGUCCCCCCCUCCGUGUUCGUGAAAAUGUUGGGUUUAAGUCCGGCAAACGAGGCAAACCUUGAUCUUUGGUUGCCAACCGUUAGUUCGGGCACUCUAAAGGUGACUGCCCGUGAAACCGAAGAAGGUGGGGAUGACCCUCAAAUCCUCAUGCCCCUUUAGGACCUGGGGCCUAAACACCGUGCUUCAAUUGGCGGAUACCAAGACUUGCCAAAA
rnacentral:rRNA from 1 species